rnacentral:misc_RNA from 1 species
AACGAGGCCGACCUGCGGCUGAGUUACCUGCGGAGGGAUCAUUACAGAGUUGCAAAACUCCCUAAACCAUUGUGAACGUUACCUAAACCGUUGCUUCGGCGGGCGGCCCGGGUCCUUCCCGGCGCCCCUCGGCCCUCGCGGGCGCCCGCCGGAGGUAAACCAAACUAUUGCAUUGUAUGGCCUCUCUGAGUCUUCUGUACUGAAUAAGUCAAAACUUUUAGCAACGGAUCUCAGAUCGGA